rnacentral:rRNA from 1 species
AUUGAACGCUGGCGGCAUGCCUUACACAUGCAAGUCGAACGGUAACAGGUCUUCGGAUGCUGACGAGUGGCGAACGGGUGAGUAAUACAUCGGAACGUGCCUAGUAGUGGGGGAUAACUACUCGAAAGAGUGGCUAAUACCGCAUGAGAUCUACGGAUGAAAGCAGGGGAUCGCAAGACCUUGUGCUACUAGAGCGGACGAUGGCAGAUUAGGUAGGUGGUGGGAUAAAAGCUUACCAAGCCGGCGAUCUGUAGCUUGUCGGAGAGGACGAUCAGCCACACUGGGACGGAGACACGGGCCAGACUCCUACGGGAGGGAGCAGUGGGGAAUUUUGGACAAUGGGCGCAAGCCUGAUCCAGCAAUGCCGCGUGCAGGAUGAAGGCCUUCGGGUUGUAAACUGCUUUUGUACGGAACGAAAAGCCCCGGGUUAAUACCCUGGGGUCAUGACGGUACCGUAAGAAUAAGCACCGGCUAACUACGUGCCAGCAGCCGCCGCGG